GUCACGGUGGGCGAGUGGUCUAAGCCGUUUACCUCAUAAGUCAAUGCCUUCGGGCGCGAGAGUUCGAAUCUUUUUUACGCUUUUGGCU